GUCUUAGUUCAGUCUGUAGUCUCAUCAUCAAGAGUCACUAUGAUCAGAGUUCUAGUUAUUUUUCAGUCACUCUACUGGAUUCAAGGAGUCUCAGGGGCGAAUGAUGUCUCUCAGCCCAGCACACUCUGGGUUACAAUGGGUCAAUCAGCCACAAUAAACUGCUCACACACUAAAGGUUCAACUUACAGUCUGAUGUACUGGUUCCGUCAGCAUCAUGGACAGAGCAUGGAGCUUAUUGUGUACUCUCCAACAUACGGCACUCCAGAUUUUGGAAACCACAGCCACAGUAAAUUCUCAGUCAUUAAAACUGUCACUGAGAGCGGCUCAUUUACAGUGAAAGAUGUGGAUCAUAAUGACAGAGGUGUGUAUUUCUGUGUCGUGAGUGAACACAGUGUUAUAACCAAAAGGCAGAGCUCUUAUUACACAGUGCCUGAAAUCAGCUCACGUAAUUACAAAAACCUUUAUCUGAUCCACGUUACCAUCAAACCACAACACCUGCAGCUGUGGCUGGAUUUAAGUUCACAUCAAUAA